rnacentral:lncRNA from 1 species
UUCACUAUUUAAGCUAUUAGUGAGCAUAUAAUAUAUAUAAUCCAUGAUCAUAACUCCAUAACCUAACAUUAUCAGUAUUUGCCAGACUAACACUUAAUUAAUCAAACUAGAAGUGUCAUAAAAUCACGCGCUUUCCUUUUUUUCCCUUUGGGAGGGAGGGUGGAGGGGGGAGCAAGCCAGCCUAAUGAAAUAACAUUUUUGAACCUCCGGAAUUGGAUAUUUUGCUUAUAAGUUAAAACCAUACAAGAAGAGAAAAGGUAUAGUCACCACAGUUAUUCUGUUCUUUGGCAACACUCAAAGCCUCUUUACAGACAUUAAACCCUGAUGAUUAAAACCAUUGAAGACGAGAUCCCAAAGUACGAGGCGAUUAUCUGCCUUCAUUCUUCAUCACCAUCCUCAUCCUCCUCCUCUUCUUCCUCUUCGUCUUCAGAGCCUUCACUGUCCUUUCCCUGCAUUAGCAUUCAAGUCAAAUCAACCAAUUCAACAAUUUGACCAGAGAACAUUUAUCUGCAAUCUUAAUAACAUCAGGAAGACUUAAAGCCAGUUUUACAAUUUUAAGCCAUUAAUGACUCUUUCUGCUCUUGACAAGAGCCCUCAAGAACCAUUAAACACAGGUCUUUUCACCUGAUAUAAUCAACAACAGGAAAGUAAUCAAGAAGUGAUUUGUGC